rnacentral:tRNA from 1 species
GCGUUCUUAGCUCAGUUGGUAGAGCAGGUGACUCUUAAUCACCGGGUCGGGGGUUCGAGUCCCUCAGGACGCA